GGGGCCGGUAGUACUAUGAUUUGGUAUGUGGCCGCUUUGGUAGCAAGUGUGCUCGGCGCCCGCGGGCUGCCCGUCCAAGGUGCCCUCGGCUCGAGGGAGGAGCCCGAGUUCGUGACCGCUCGCGCUGGCGAGAGCGUGAUCCUGGGAUGCGACGUGAUCCACCCGCUGACGGGACAGCCCCCUCCCUAUGUCGUGGAGUGGUUCAAGUUCGGCGUCCCCAUCCCCAUCUUCAUCAAGUUUGGGUUUUACCCUCCCCAUGUCGACCCAGAGUAUGCCGGCCGGGCCAGCCUGCACGACAAAGCCUCCCUGCGCAUUGAGCAGGUGCGCUCCGAGGACCAGGGCUGGUACGAGUGCAAAGUGCUCAUGCUGGACCAGCAGUACGACACCUUCCACAACGGCAGCUGGGUCCACCUCACGGUCAACGCUCCCCCCACGUUCACGGAGACCCCGCCGCAGUACGUAGAGGCGAAGGAGGGCAGCAGCGUCACCCUGACCUGCAUGGCCUUCGGGAACCCCAAGCCCAUCGUCACCUGGCUCAGAGAGGGAGACCUCCUGGGUGCCAGUGGCAAGUACCAGGUGAGCGACGGGAGCCUCACGGUGCUCUCGGUCAGCCGGGAGGACAGAGGUGCCUACACCUGCCGGGCCUACAGCAUCCAGGGCGAGGCUGUGCACACCACGCGCCUGCUCGUCCAAGGACCUCCCUUUAUCGUUUCCCCUCCGGAGAACAUCACAGUCAACAUCUCCCAGGAUGCGCUGUUCACCUGCCAGGCCGAGGCGUAUCCCGGGAACCUCACCUACCUGUGGUACUGGGAGGAAGAGAACGUCUACUUCAAGAACGACUUGAAGCUGAGGGUGCGGAUCCUGAUCGACGGGACGCUGAUUAUUUUCCGUGUCAAACCAGAGGAUGCUGGAAAAUACACCUGUAUCCCCAGCAACAGCCUGGGCCGCUCGCCAUCAGCCUCUGCCUACCUGACAGUGCAGUAUCCUGCCCGCGUGGUGAACAUGCCCCCCAUCAUCUACGUUCCCAUCGGGAUCCACGGGUACAUCCGCUGCCCGGUGGAGGCGGAGCCCCCGGUCACGCUGGUCAAGUGGAACAAGGACGGGCGUCCCCUGCGAAUCGAGAAGUACUCCGGCUGGAACCUGCUGGAAGACGGGUCGAUCCGGAUCGAGGAGGCCACCGAAGAUGCUCUCGGCACUUACACCUGUGUGCCUUAUAACGCCCUGGGUACGAUGGGCCAGUCUCCCCCUGCCCGACUGGUACUGAAGGACCCCCCCUAUUUCACGGUGCUACCAGGCUGGGAGUACAGACAGGAGGCAGGGAGGGAGCUGUUGAUUCCUUGCGCUGCUGCCGGAGACCCCUUUCCCAUCAUCGCCUGGAGAAAGGUCCUCUCGGAAACGGGGGAACCGUCUGCCUUGCCACGACCGGAGAGACCGGAUCCCCUGCCGGUGGCCGGCGGUGUCCCCUGGGCCGCGCAGGUAGGGAAGCCCAGCAGGAGCAAGCACAACACGCUGCCCGGCGGGACCCUGCAGAUCCGCUCCCUCGGCAAGGACGACCACGGCGAGUGGGAGUGCGUCGCCACCAACAUCGUCGCGAGCAUUACUGCCAGCACCCACCUGACUGUCGUAGGGACAAGCCCUCACGCCCCGACCAGCGUGCACGUCGUGGCCGCCAUGACCUCAGCCAACGUCUCCUGGGAGCCCGGCUAUGACGGUGGAUACGAGCAGACUUUCUCAGUUUGGUACGGCCCUCUGAUGAAGAGAGCCCAGUUUGGACCCCAUGACUGGCUGUCUCUCCCCGUGCCAGCUGGUUCCAGCUGGCUACUGGUGGAUACCUUGGAACCAGAGACUGCUUACCAGUUCAGUGUCUUGGCUCAAAACAAGCUGGGCACCAGCUCCUUCAGUGAGGUGGUCACUGUGAACACUCUAGCAUUCCCUGUAACAACUCCAGAGCCUCUGGUGUUGGUUACCCCACCGAGGUGCCUAACAGCCAACCGGACACAGCAAGGCGUCCUCCUGUCGUGGCUCCCUCCCGCCAACCACAGCUUCCCCAUCGACCGCUACAUCAUGGAAUUCCGCGUGGCGGAGAAGUGGGAGAUCCUGGAUGAUGGCAUCCCGGGCUCCGAGAGCGAGUUCUUUGCCAAGGACUUGUCCCAGGACACCUGGUACGAGUUCCGUGUGCUGGCGGUCAUGCAGGAUCUCAUCAGCGAACCCAGCAACGUCGCUGGCGUGUCCAGUACAGACGUUUUCCCUCAGCCUGACCUGACGGACGAGGGCCUAGCCCGCCCGGUGCUGGCUGGCAUCGUUGCCACCAUCUGCUUCCUGGCUGCUGCCAUCCUCUUCAGCACACUCGCCGCCUGCUUCGUCAACAAGCAACGCAAACGCAAGCUCAAGCGCAAGAAAGACCCUCCUCUCUCGAUAACCCACUGCAGGAAGAGUUUGGAGUCCCCGUUGUCUUCCGGCAAGGUGAGUCCCGAGAGCAUCCGCACGCUCCGUCCCCCCUCGGAGUCCUCUGACGACCAGGGCCCGCAGGCCAAGCGGAUGCUGAGCCCCACCAAGGAGAAGGAGCUCUCCCUUUACAAGAAGACCAAACGAGCCAUCAGCAGCAAGAAGUACAGCGUCUCCAAGGCGGAGGCCGAAGCCGAGGCCACCACUCCCAUCGAGCUCAUCAGCCGCGGGCCGGACGGACGCUUCGUCAUGGACCCGGCGGAGAUGGAGCCCUCCCUGAAGACACGGCGGAUCGAGGGCUUCCCCUUCGUGGAGGAGACGGACAUGUACCCCGAGUUCAGGCAGUCGGACGAGGAGAACGACGACCCCGUCGUCCCCACCUCCGUGACCGCCCUGAAAGCGCAGCUCACCCCUCUCUCCUCCAGCCAGGAGUCCUACCUUCAGCCACCAGCAUACAGCCCCCGGUUCCACCGGGCGCUGGAGGGUCCCGGCGCCCUGCAGGCCACCGGCCAGGCCCGCCCGCCGGCCCCCCGGGCUUUCCACCACCAGUUUUACGGUUACCUCAGCAGCAGCAGCCCCGGGGAGGUGGACCCGCCGCCCUUCUACAUGCCAGAAGUCAGCCCGCUGAGCUCGGUCAUGUCCUCCCCGCCGCUGCCCCCCGAGGGGCCCUUCGGACACCCCACCAUUCCCGAGGAGAACGGGGAGAACGCCUCCAACAGCACGCUGCCCUUGGCCCAGACCCCCACGGGGGGCCGGUCCCCCGAGCCCUGGGGCAGGGCCGAGUUCCCCUUCGGCAGCCUGGAGCUGGCCCCCGCGCCGUUCCCCCACCAGCUCCAGCCCUGCGAGGGGCCCGAGGGCUCCCAGUCCACGGGCUGCCUUCCUCGGGGGCCGCCCCCCUCCUCCCUCCAGGUGGUCCCCGCAUCCUACUCGGGCAUCCUGCCCCUGGAGGCACCAAAGAGCUGGACCGGCAAGUCACCGGGCAGGUGUCAAUCCUCCGUGCCCGCUACCACCAAGUGGCAGGACAAACCUAUGCAACCCAUGGGAUGUCAAGGGCAGCUAAGACAUACCAGCCAAGGUAUGGGCAUACCCGUGUUGCCUUACCACGAACCGUCCGAGCCCGUCGGCCCCAGCGGCACAAGCACAUUCAGCCUGGACACCAGGUGGUACGAGCCCCAACCCCGACCUCGGCCCAGCCCUCGGCAGGUCAGGAGGGCUGAGCCCAGUUUACAUCAGGUGGUGCUACAACCUUCGAGGCUUUCUCCUCUGACCCAAAGUCCCCUGAGCUCCCGCAACAGCUCCCCGGAGCUGACCGCCCGCGCCCGGCCCCGCCCGGGGCUCAUCCAGCAGGCGGAGGUGUCGGAGAUCACGCUGCAGCCGCCCGCGGCCGUCAGCUUCUCCCGCAAAUCCACGCCGUCCUCCACGGGAUCUCCGGCGCCGAGCAGCCGCGGGGACAGCCCCAGCUUCCGACCGACCACCGCCUUCACCCCCGUGGGCACCGGCUUCUCCAACUCCCAGGGCUCCUCCCUGCCCGUGGACACCAUGGAUGUUUUCGGAGACAUCCCUUCUCCGAGGAGGGCUGGCGAGGAGAUUCUCCAACCGGAGCCGACAUCCACCACCACGGUAGCCACCACAGGCUGCUGGCUCUUGGCUUUCUUCGAACGUUAGGGCCGCCGCCGCCGCGCCUCUGUCUUCCUCCUCUUCCUUCCCGCGGAGUCUAGAGAGCUUUAAUGCAUGACAGAAACAGCUAUCACGGUCACCGCCCCACCUGCAAAAGGGAUGCUGCAGCCCCAGGACGCGGGCAGGGAGAGAUCAAGGACUUAGCCACACCAGCAGCAUGUCAGGAGAGGAGGAAAAAUAAAAAUAAACUAAGCCCAGCGGAGAUCGGGAGGCUGCCGGCACGCUCAGAUCCUGCCCUAAAGAGGGAUGUGGCUGCACUAGACAGUAGCGGCUGGUUUUCCAGCUAUCUGGGCAGUGUUGUCGAGACAAGCUUCUCCUCAGCUCAAUAGAAAACGUCCAUCUCCGCCCGGGGACGCUGCUGCACCUGAGAGGCUCGAAGCUCUGAAAUACCAGCGGAUAAAGAAGCCCAAAAAGUCAUCCA